CAGAGUUCAUGCCCUUCGGGGUAGACCUCCCACCCUUUGUAUACAUUGCCUUUGUUGCUUUGGCGGGCCGCCGCGCCCGCGUCCACCGGCUUCGGCUGGUGUGCGCCCGCCAGAGGACCCCAAACUCUGAAUGUUAGUGUCGUCUGAGUACUAUACAAUAGUUA
rnacentral:misc_RNA from 1 species